rnacentral:rRNA from 1 species
GAUGAACGCAGGCGGCGUGCUUAACACAUGCAAGUCGAACGGAAAGGCCUCAGCUUGCUGGGGUACUCGAGUGGCGAACGGGUGAGUAACACGUGGGUGAUCUGCCCUGCACUUUGGGAUAAGCUUGGGAAACUGGGUCUAAUACCGAAUAUGACCACUUCUUGGAUGUUGUGGUGGAAAGCUCUUGCGGUGUGGGAUGAGCCUGCGGCCUAUCAGCUUGUUGGUGGGGUAAUGGCCUACCAAGGCGGCGACGGGUAUCCGGCCUGAGAGGGUGUACGGACACAUUGGGACUGAGAUACGGCCCAGACUCCUACGGGAGGCAGCAGUGGGGAAUAUUGCACAAUGGGCGCAAGCCUGAUGCAGCGACGCCGCGUGGGGGAUGAAGGCCUUCGGGUUGUAAACUCCUUUCGCUAUCGACGAAGCCACUUGUGGUGACGGUAGGUAGAUAAGAAGCACCGGCUAACUACGUGCCAGCCGCCGCAGUAA